rnacentral:rRNA from 1 species
AUUGAACGCUGGCGGCAGGCCUAACACAUGCAAGUCGAACGGUAGCACAGAGGAGCUUGCUCCUUGGGUGACGAGUGGCGGACGGGUGAGUAAUGUCUGGGAAACUGCCCGAUGGAGGGGGAUAACUACUGGAAACGGUAGCUAAUACCGCAUAACGUCGCAAGACCAAAGAGGGGGACCUUCGGGCCUCUUGCCAUCGGAUGUGCCCAGAUGGGAUUAGCUAGUAGGUGGGGUAACGGCUCACCUAGGCGACGAUCCCUAGCUGGUCUGAGAGGAUGACCAGCCACACUGGAACUGAGACACGGUCCAGACUCCUACGGGAGGCAGCAGUGGGGAAUAUUGCACAAUGGGCGCAAGCCUGAUGCAGCCAUGCCGCGUGUAUGAAGAAGGCCUUCGGGUUGUAAAGUACUUUCAGCGAGGAGGAAGGUGUUGUGGUUAAUAACCACAGCAAUUGACGUUACUCGCAGAAGAAGCACCGGCUAACUCCGUGCCAGCAGCCGCAGUAA